rnacentral:rRNA from 1 species
UACGAAGGGGGCUAGCGUUGCUCGGAAUGACUGGGCGUAAAGGGCGCGUAGGCGGAUGGCACAGUCAGAUGUGAAAUUCCUGGGCUUAACCUGGGGGCUGCAUUUGAUACGUGUGAUCUAGAGUGAGGAAGAGGGUUGUGGAAUUCCCAGUGUAGAGGUGAAAUUCGUAGAUAUUGGGAAGAACACCGGUGGCGAAGGCGGCUCACUGGCUCAUUACUGACGCUCAGGCGCGACAGCGUGGGGAUCAAACAGG